GACGAACGCUGGCGGCGUGCUUAACACAUGCAAGUCGAACGGAAAGGCCCUGCUUUUGUGGGGUGCUCGAGUGGCGAACGGGUGAGUAACACGUGAGUAACCUGCCCUUGACUUUGGGAUAACUUCAGGAAACUGGGGCUAAUACCGGAUAGGAGCUCCUGCUGCAUGGUGGGGGUUGGAAAGUUUCGGCGGUUGGGGAUGGACUCGCGGCUUAUCAGCUUGUUGGUGGGGUAGUGGCUUACCAAGGCUUUGACGGGUAGCCGGCCUGAGAGGGUGACCGGCCACAUUGGGACUGAGGUACGGCCCAGACUCCUACGGGAGGGAGCAGUGGGGAAUAUUGCAGGAGGGGCGGAAGGCUGAUGAAGCAACGCCGCGUGCGGGAUGACGGCCUUCGGGGUGUAAACCGCUUUCGCCUGUGACGAAGCGUGAGUGACGGUAAUGGGUAAAGAAGCACCGGCUAACUACGUG
rnacentral:rRNA from 1 species